rnacentral:rRNA from 1 species
AGGAAUAGACCCCCUGGUAGUUCCCGCCAGUAAUCGAUGUCGAUUUGGAGGUUCCCCCCGAGAGUGCGCGGCCUCUCGGAGAUAACCCGUUAAGUCGACCUCCUGGGGAGUACGCCCGCAAGGUUAAAACUCAAAUGAAUUGACGGGGGCCCGCACAAGCGGUGGAGCAUGUGGUUUAAUUUGAUGCAACGCGAAGAACCUUACCUGGUCUUGACAUCCAGAGAAUCCUGCAGAGAUGCGGGAGUGCCUUCGGGAACUCUGAGACAGGUGCUGCAUGGCUGUCGUCAGCUCGUGUUGUGAAAUGUUGGGUUAAGUCCCGCAACGAGCGCAACCCUUAUCCUUUGUUGCCAGCACGUGAUGGUGGGAACUCAAAGGAGACUGCCGGUGAUAAACCGGAGGAAGGUGGGGAUGACGUCAAGUCAUCAUGGCCCUUACGACCAGGGCUACACACGUGCUACAAUGGCGCAUACAAAGAGAAGCGACCUCGCGAGAGCAAGCGGACCUCAUAAAGUGCGUCGUAGUCCGGAUUGGAGUCUGCAACUCGACUCCAUGAAGUCGGAAUCGCUAGUAAUCGUGGAUCAGAAUGCCACGGUGAAUACGUUCCCGGGCCUUGUACACACCGCCCGUCACACCAUGGGAGUGGGUUGCAAAAGAAGUAGGUAGCUUAACCUUCGGGGAG